GAUAACUGUAUGUGUUGUCAGGUAAACUGAUAGAUAACUGUAUGUGUUGUCAGGUAAACUGAUAGAUAACUGUGUGUGUUGUCAGGUAAACUGAUAGAUAACUGUGUGUGUUGUCAGGUAAACUGAUAGAUAACUGUAUGUGUUGUCAGG